AAUGAACGCUGGCGGCGUGCCUAAUACAUGCAAGUCGAGCGAAUGGAUUAAGAGCUUGCUCUUAUGAAGUUAGCGGCGGACGGGUGAGUAACACGUGGGUAACCUGCCCAUAAGACUGGGAUAACUCCGGGAAACCGGGGCUAAUACCGGAUAACAUUUUGAACCGCAUGGUUCGAAAUUGAAAGGCGGCUUCGGCUGUCACUUAUGGAUGGACCCGCGUCGCAUUAGCUAGUUGGUGAGGUAACGGCUCACCAAGGCAACGAUGCGUAGCCGACCGGAGAGGGUGAUCGGCCACACUGGGACUGGGACACGGCCCAGAGUCCUGCGGGAGGCAGCAGUAGGGAAUCUUCCGCAAUGGACGAAAGUCUGACGGAGCAACGCCGCGUGAGUGAUGAAGGCUUUCGGGUCGUAAAACUCUGUUGUUAGGGAAGAACAAGUGCUAGUUGAAUAAGCUGGCACCUUGACGGUACCUAACCAGAAAGCCACGGCUAACUACGUGCCAGCCGCCGCGGUAA
rnacentral:rRNA from 1 species